rnacentral:rRNA from 1 species
AUCCAGCCAUGCCGCGUGUGUGAAGAAGGCCUUUGUGGUUGUAAAGCACUGUUAAUGCGAGGAGGAGGAGCUCUUGUGUUAAUACCCAAGAUGCUUGGACGUUUACUCGCAGAAUAACGCACCGGCUAACUCUGUGCCAGCAGCCGCGGUAUAUACAGAGGGUGCAAGCGUUAAUCGGAUUAUACUGGGCGUAAAGCGCGCGUAGGUGGCCAAUUAAGUCAAAUGUGAAAUCCCCGAGCUUAACUUAGGGAAUUGCAUNACGAUACUGGUUGGCUAGAGUAUGGGAGAGGAUGGUAGAAUUCCANUGUGUAGCGGUGAAAUGCGUAGUAGAUCUGGAGGAAUACCGAUGGCGAAGCGCAGCCAUCUGGCCUAAUACUGACACUGAGGUGCGAAAGCAUGGUGGAGCAAACAGGAUUAGAUACCCUGGUAGUCCAUGCCGUAAACGAUGUCUACUAGUCCGUNGGGGCCUNUGAGGCUUUAGUGGCGCAGCUANCGCUAUAAGUAGACCGCCUGGGGAGUACAGUCGCAAGACUAAAACUCAAAUGANUUGACGGGG